GCGGUGUAGUUUAGUGGUAAAACUACAGCCUUCCAAGCUGUUGUCGCGAGUUCGAUUCUCGUCACCCGCU
rnacentral:tRNA from 1 species